rnacentral:lncRNA from 1 species
CUCUCGCCUCUACUAUCCAACUCCUGUGAGGGACUCAGGCAUAGUUCGGGCGGAGGCAGAAAGAGCGAGCGCGCGAAGAACUUCGGUAUUGAGGGAGAGCGCUUGUGACGCUACGAACCUCUCGAACACCUGACGACUGGGCGCCAGGGCCGGAUGGAGGGUGGAGAGCCAGUGCGGCGCAGCUGCCUCCUCUUAACGGGGACACCUUGCAGGAAUGUGCGGAGUGGAGCUAACGGGAGCGGAUAGAAACCGAGGGAGGGGAAGAGAGCGCGAAGGCUUGGCCGGAAGGAGAGGUUAAAAAGGAAAGGCCUAAAAUGAGGAAGAGAGUUACCACAACAAGCAGUACCUAGUUCCAGUUCUUGGUCCCAGGAGUUUGUGGUUGUUGCUGCUUUCAUCUUCCUCAGCCAACACAAAAGGAAAGUGCCAAGGGGCGAUUCCUAGGACCUUCAGUGCAGUCUCCACCUUGCGGACUUGGCUCAUUUGUGUCCACUCCUUUCUCCAGCCUUUUACACUUGAUGCUCUUGGAUGAAUAGAAAGGAGCACAAUUAAUGGAAAACACAAGCUUGGGAGUCAAGGGAUUUGGGUUCUAUUCUUGUCCUCCCUUGGUGACGACAUCAUUACCUUGGGUUAUUCAAGCUUUCAGUGCCAGAGUUCCUAUAUCAAUAAAAGAUUAUUACAUUGACCUCUUAGAGAAAUGUUUUCAUGGUACUGAAUUGCAAAUAAAGUAUGUGUAGCGAUGUGUUAUAUCUUUGUAGUUGUACGGUAUUAUUUGUGAAUCAUGCUGUGAUGAUCAGUGCGAUUUAAGUGCACCAUGUUAUUUGGUGAUUAUUUUCCUGAGAUCUUGUAAAAGAUUUUUCUGCUCUAUAUAUGCAGCUUUAUAAACAAGUUUUUAGGUACAUUCACAACUAAGGACAUUUGUGAAUCAAAAUUACCCCUGCUUUUUUUAAAUGUAAAGUUCUGUAUUGCUAGGUGGUUUUCAAGAUGCUUUCAGUUUCUGGGAUUAUUGUUUUGGGCAUUGGGGCUUGCCUAACCUUUUUCCCAUACCUCCCUAUUUUUCUAAAUACAGUGUUGAUAUAGUCAGGCAUUUUUCACCAAUUUGGGUUUUUUUUUUUUUUUUAAGUUUUCACUUAGAAAGUACUUCUUUUUCAUAUUAAAAAAAUUUUUUUUAGAGAUGGGGCAGCCCAAACUGGAACACAAUGGCAGAAUCAUAGCUCACUGCAUCCUUGGACUCCCGGGCUCAAGGGGUCCUUAUGCCUCAGCCUCCGGAGUAGUUGGGACUACAGAUGCUCAUCACCACCACUGGCUUUGAUUUUUUUGUUCUAUCAUACUUAGCCUAUCAGCUAACGGUUAACCUUCAGAUUCAUGGAAAUCCAGGUUCAGAAUAGUAUUAUUAAUGUCUGCUGAUGCUAAUAUUUAAAUAAUUAGAAUUAAAAAGAGCUUUCAAAUUGUAUUUUAUAUAAUUUAACCUGUAAGUUAGAAGUUUUGUUGGCAUUUUAUGGUGCAUCAAGAAAAUUUACUGAGAGAAGAUGUACUUACUUUAGAUCUGAUAAAAUGUUAAACAUUUGUUUGAUUUGAUUUGACAUCUCUUACUUUCAGGCAUUGCUUUAGCAUCUGUGGUCUGUAUUUACCCCCUUAAUUGUGGUUGCCUUGAAUUACCAAUGCAGUAGCAGUGUGAUAAAUUAAUUUCUUUACCUAUGUUUUAUUACUGCCCUCUAGUAUCUCUUUUCAGCGACCAGCGUGCUGUAACCAGUCACAAUUUCUUUAUCAAGAGUUGCCAUUAAUAUUUAUUUAUAGAGCAUAAGGUUUAUAUUGCUUAUAUAUAAGCUAUAUAUAGUUUAGGUGCUGACCUAAGGUUUAUAAAAGUGAAAACUUACUGUAAUGGGCAGUCUGAAGCACUGAGGUGCACCUUUUUAUCUUACUGGCAAGACCAUCUACUACCUAUGAAUUAUAAGGUAGUGGUCUCCAAGAUGUUUUGAUAGCCUCCCAUUUACAUAGUUACUGUUUAUGCUAUGAGAAAAGUAAGAGGGGUAUCAGAGAGCUUGUUUUCCCCAAUAGCCUGUUACGGACUCCUCAGUACCAAGUAAGGACAAAAACCUUCAUCUCCUAACACUCUUUCAACUGUAUCCCACUGAGUGCCUGCCUAGGACUGCAUAAGGCAAAAGCUGUAUAAAUAAUGGCCCCUACUUCAAGGAUCCUACAGGAUAUCAUUUUAAGAAAUAUGUGAAGAUCUAUAUAAUUUAGUUCUAAGUGUUGAGAGGAAAUUCAGUGCUACUUACAUUUAGAUAAAGUAGUGGGACUGAGAGUAGUUAGGUUAGCUUUAUGGAGGGAUUUAAGCUGAGCCUUAUGUGAAUGGAUAAAAUUUGGAGAGGAGGAGAGCAAUAAAAGGCAUAUCACACAGAGAAAAGCAAGGGCACAGAUGUGAGAAUUGUAUGGUUUCUAUAGAGGACAGUGAAGAGCUUUAUUUGUACUGUUGAUCCAUGUUUGGGAGUUCUAAAAAAAUAAGUUAUUAUGGAGCACCUUGAAAAAGUAAGAUUUCAGAGUAACAGUAAAGAAAUAGAGCAUUUAACAAAACCCAGCAUAAUAUAUUCAUAGAAACAAUAUAAUCCAGCAAAAUAUAUUCAAAAACAAUGAGCAAAUCUUAACUUGGGGUGGGGAGAUGAAUCAGUUGAUGAACAAUCAGUCAGAAUUAAAGUGUAAUACUAUUACACCUAGACCAAGAACAAUUGACCAGGAAGCCAGCGAUACCUAUGAUAGCCAAAAUGCCAUGAAGUAUGAAUGAAUUGUUAGUAAAAAAAAAAAAACGGAUCCAGGUAGUGUCCAGUAUAUAUUAAUACGUUUGAUAAGCAGAAAUGGAAAAGGCAGUAAAAUAUCCUGGUUAGAUAUAUGCCUUAUCAAGCUAUGGCAGCCAGCUUUUCAAACACCAUGAAAAACUGGGCAAGAGGCAGAUUCAGAGAAUAAGAGGGAAAUAGACUGUAAAAACAGAAUGUUGCUGAUUGAAGGCAUUGUCCCGUUCCUGUCUCGAAGGAGAUUCAUUCUCGUUGAGGCCUGGCAAUAUAUGUACUCAUUUGAAAAGGAACCUUUUGAUCUAGAGAGGUCCUGCAGCCUUCCUUCUUUUCUGAGAAGGAAAAUUUUGUUGUGGAUAUCCUUUGAGCUGGAUAGACCUGUCCCUCCCUACAGCUUCUUUGCUAAUAUAAUUGCCUCCAGUUCACUCCUAAAAGAAUGCUUAGGGUAUUAAACUGCUCUGUAGUAAGCAAUUAGUCUGUAUAUUGUUUCCUAAACUUAAGAAGGCUUUUGUUCAAGGGCCCCUGACCCUAACCUCAGCUGCCACUCCAUGCCAGUUGAAAAAGGCUUUCAGCCUUCCUUGGUGCUAUGGUUUGAAUGAAGGUAUUCCUCCAAAAUUCAUAUGUUGGAACUUAAACCCCAAGGUGGUGAUAUUAAGAGGUGGGGCCUUUUGGGAAGUGAUUUAGCUGUGAGGGCUUUGCUGUCAUGAAUGGUAUUGCCGUUAGAGUCCUCAGAGAGCUGCCUGUGAGCCAUGUGAGGACAGAGCAUUCAUCCCUUCCAGUAUAUAAGCAACAGGGUGCUCAUCUCGGAAGCAGAGAACCCUCACAAGACACUAAAUCUGCUGACACCUUGAUCAUGGACUUCCCAGCCUCCAGAACUGUAAGAAAUAAAUUUUUAUUGUUUAUAAAUUACGCAGUCUCAGGUAUUUUGUUACAGCAGUACAAACAGACUAAAACACCUGGUCCACUUGGUUUGUAAGUAGAUCCUGUUACUGUUAAAUAAAUGUUUCUGUCAGAAAUACAUUCUACAUCAUAGUCCAGUACAUAAACUCACAACACCUAAGCAUAUAUGUAAGUGUCAUGAAACUAUACUUACCCUUUCUAUAUGCAGUUCUCUCUGCUAUUUUUAUUCUGUCCCUUUAAAAAAAAUGUUGGUUAUAAUACACUAAAAUAAUGUCAAAGUGCACUAAUUGGUUAUAAUUCAAGUUUGAAAACCACUGCUUUAUAGCUCCCAUGAUGUUUUGAAGAGCUUUUUGUAUUGGUCAGGGUUCUCUAGAGGGACAGAACUAAUAGGAUAGAUAGAUCCUAUUAUUAUUAAAUUAUUAAAUAUCCUAUUAUUAUUAAAGGGACUUUAAAUAUUAACUCACACAAUCACAAGGUCUCACAAUAGGCCAUCUGUAAGCUGAGGAGGAAGGAGAGCCAGUCCAAGCCCCAAAACAAGAACUUGGAAUCCGAUGUUUGAGGGUAGGAAGCAUCCAGCACGGGAGAAAGAUCUAGGCUGGGAGGCUAGGCUAGUCUUGUCUUUUCACAUUUUUCUGCCUGCUUUAUAUAUUCUAACCACCCUGGCAGCUGAUCAGAUGGUGCCCACCCAGAUUAAGUGUGGGUCUGCCUUUCCCAGCCCACUGACUCAAAUGUUAAUCUCCUUUGGCAACACCCUCACAGACACACCCAGGAUCAAUAUUUUGCAUCCUUCAAUCAAGUUGACCCUCAGCACUAACCAUCAUAAGUCUACUACUUGUCAGCUUGAACCCAUACACAUCUCCUGAGAUCACACAUCAUCUUCAAAUAAAGACAAUAAUAAGGUCAUAAUUACAUCUAACAUAAUAAAACCAUCCUUUGUACAAACGGAAACGCACCAAUCUCCUACCCAAAUACUAUUACAUAAAGUUAAUAUUUAAAUGCUGAUGUGAAGUCAAUAAAUCUUAUGUCACAUGGUAACAGAAAAAGGAAAUAAAAUGGAGAUAUUUUCUUAGUACAAGUGUAUACAUGCACAAACAUGUUUUUAACAAAAGAAGGAAGAAAUACUCAUGACAAUUACAGUCCUUGUGUCUGCAGCUGGUCAUGUGGUCGUAGCUGGUACUGAUGACUACCCUCUUCUACUGUCCGUUCUGUAUUCCAUUUGGCUUCAGCAGGCACCUCAGGAGGUCAUGGUUUUUUCCUGGUGGAGUGACCCAAACCUUCAUUCCUGAAGUGUCUAGGCCAUUUGUAGUCCCGCCUGGAUUGCGCUGUUGUAGUUUCCUGUUAAUCUUAAUCACAGGGCAUGGUAAUACUAAGAGACACCCUAAUGGAUCUCCUGUAUUCCAUGUGUACUCUUCCCUGCCUCUGUUGUGGAGUAGUAGACUGAUUUUGUCUUGAUAGUCCAGGUCAGUCACCCCAGCCAACACUGUAACUCCCUUCUUAGCCUGUUGACUUAAAGGUAAUAGGAGCCCAAAGUGUCCAGGUAGCAAUCUUAACUUCCAGUUUAAUGGAAUCAUUGUGUCUCCUGGUGGCAGUGUUCCUCCCUCUGGAACUAAGACCUCUAAGCCAGCAGAACGUAAUGUUGCAGGAACAGGAAGCAAAAAUUUUACUAGUAGAUCGCUAGGGGUGAUGGUGAGUGGUGCCACUUCCAUUUCCACCCUUUGAUUCCUGGACCUGUGAAUCCUGGCUAUGGGAGAAACAGUACCAUAUAUUGGACGCUGCUUCAGAGCAUCCAUGGCUUUCUGGAGGACUUUGCCCCAGCCCUGCAAAGUACUGUCACCUAGUUGGCAUUGUGACUUCAAAAGGCCAUUCCACCGUUCUAUUGAUAGAACGGUGCUUCAGGGUAAUGGGGAACAUGGUAAGAAGAGUGAAUUCCAUGAGCAUGAGCCCACUGCCACACUUCUUUAGCUGUAAAGGGAGUCUCUUGGUCAGAGGCAAUGCUGUGUGGAAUAACGUGACAGUGGAUAAGGCAUGCCAUGAGUCCAUGGAUGGUCAUCUUGGCAGAAGCAUUGCAUGCAGGAUAGGCAAACCCAUAUCCAGAGUAAGUAUCUGUUCCAGUGAGGACAAACCUCUGCUCUUUCUAUGAUUUAAGAGGUCCAAUAUAAUCAAACUGCCACCAGGUAACUGGCUGAUCACCCCGAGGAAUGGUGCCAUAUUGAGGGCUCAGUGUUGGUCUCUGCUGCUGGCAAAUUGGGCACUCAGCAGUGGCCGCAGCUAGGUUAGCCUUGGUGAGUGGAAGUCCAUGUUGCUGAGUCCAUGCAUAACCUCCAUCCCUGCCACCAUGGCCACUUUGUUCAUGGGCCCAUUGGGCGAUGGCAGGGGUGGCUGGGGAAAGAGGCUGAGGGGUGUCUACAGAACAAGUGGGUCAUCCUAUCCGCUUGAUUAUUAAAAUUCUCCUAUGCUGAGGUUACCCACUGGUGAGCACUCACAUGGGUUACAAAUAUCUUCACUGUUUUUUACCCCUCAGAGAGGUCCAUCCACAUACCUCUUCCCCAGAUUUCUUUGUCACCAAUUUUCCAAUCAUGCUUCUUUCAAGUCCCUGACCAUCCAGCCAAACCAUUGGCUACAGCCCAUGAAUCAGUAUAUUGUUGGGAACAAGCCCCCCAAAAUCUGGCCAUAAACUGGCCCCAAAACUGGCCAUAAACAAAAUCUCUGCAGCACUGUGACAUGUUCAUGAUGGCCAUAACACCCAUGCUGGAAGGUUGUGGGUUUACCAGAAUGAGGGCAAAGAACACCUGGCCCACCCAGGGCAGAAAACCGCUUAAAGGUGUUCUUAAACCACAAACAAUAGCAUGAGUGAUCUGUGCCUUAAGGGCAUGUUCCUGCUGCAGAUAACUAGCCAAACCCACCCCUUUAUUUUGGCUCAUCCCUUCGUUUCCCAUAAGGGACACUUUUAAUUAAUCAAAUAUCUAUAGAAACAAUCCUAAUGACUGGCUUGCUGUUAAUAAAUACAUGGGUAAAUCUCUGCUCUAGGCUCUCAGCUCUGACGGCUGUGAGACCCCUGAUUUCCCACUUUACACCUCUAUAUUUCUGUGUGUGUGUCUUUAAUUCCUCUAGCGCCGCUGGGUUGGGGUCUCCCUGACCAAGCUGGUCUCAGCAGUAUAUAAUCACACAUCUGGCCAUUUCUCCUUCCAUGCAAAGUGCACAACCGGGUGCACUGCUCAAAGUUCUGCCCUCCAGGAAGAUUUCCCUUCACCACUGUCCUUCGGGGAUGUCUUAGAAAGGGGCUGUAGUGCUGCAGCUGUCCACUUUUGGGUGGUUCCUGCAUACCAUGCAGAAACAUCUGUGAACCAGGCCCUAGUCUUCUCUUCCUCUGUCAACUGAUCAUAGGGAAUUCCCCAUGAGGCCAUUGGUGCAAGCUGGAGGAGAGAAGGCAGGGUGGCAGGAUUGGUGACCAUGGGCAUUCGAGGCACUUUCUCAUGUAACUUGCUUGUGCCUUUAGGACCUGCUCAAGCCUAGUCACGUAUAUACCACUUCCACUUGAUGAUGGAAUGCUGCUGUGCAGGACCCACUUUAUAGCUAGAUGGGUCAGAAAGUACCCAGUUCAUGAUAGGCAAUUCAGGUUGCAUGAUGACUUGAUGACCCUUAGUCAAACAUUCAGUUUCCACCAAAGCCUAGUAACAGGCCAAGAUAUGUCUCUCAAAAGGAGAGUAGUUAUCUGCAGAAGAUGGCAGGGCCUUGCUCAAAAAUCCUAGAGGCCUCUGCUGUUAUUCACCUAUGAGGGCCUGCCAAGGGCCCCAAACUGCAUCCCU